GCAUAUCAAUAAGCGCGGAGGAAAAGAAACCAACAGGGAUUGCCUCAGUAGCGGCGAGUGAAGCGGCAAGAGCUCAGAUUUGAAAUCGUGCUUUGCGGCACGAGUUGUAGAUUGCAGGUUGGAGUCUGUGUGGAAGGCGGUGUCCAAGUCCCUUGGAACAGGGCGCCCAGGAGGGUGAGAGCCCCGUGGGAUGCCGGCGGAAGCAGUGAGGCCCUUCUGACGAGUCGAGUUGUUUGGGAAUA
rnacentral:rRNA from 1 species